GGAAAGAACCAUGGAAAGGAGAAAGGUAGGACGGCAUGGCUCGCAGAUUCGGCCACUAUACAUUCUUAUUUGUUCUUGCACCUAUCUCCUCACCCUCCCACUCUUCCUUUAUCUGCCAUCUCUCUUUCUCUUCCUUUCCCUUGCUAAUUUUCUAUCUGAUUGAACAUGGAUAGUUGACUCUGAGAUGUGCGAGCAGUAGAUAAAGACUUCCUGGUAGAGGCCCAGAGGAUAAGAUUGUGCUGUGAACCAUGCCUUUGUGAGAGGACCAAUACAAGAGGACCACAUGUCCAGUAUCCACCCUAAAAGUGUGGAGUGCAUCCGCCCUGAAUAGCUACACUGGUCUCCACCCGGUAAGAUUGAUCGUGUAGUUCCAUGCCUUCCUCUGCUUAUCUUAGUUUAAGGACACCUGUU